rnacentral:rRNA from 1 species
AACAAGGUCUCCGUUGGUGAACCAGCGGAGGGAUCAUUACCGAGUUUACAACUCCCAAACCCCUGUGAACAUACCACUUGUUGCCUCGGCGGAUCAGCCCGCUCCCGGUAAAACGGGACGGCCCGCCAGAGGACCCCUAAACUCUGUUUCUAUAUGUAACUUCUGAGUAAAACCAUAAAUAAAUCAAAACUUUCAACAACGGAUCUCUUGGUUCUGGCAUCGAUGAAGAACGCAGCAAAAUGCGAUAAGUAAUGUGAAUUGCAGAAUUCAGUGAAUCAUCGAAUCUUUGAACGCACAUUGCGCCCGCCAGUAUUCUGGCGGGCAUGCCUGUUCGAGCGUCAUUUCAACCCUCAAGCACAGCUUGGUGUUGGGACUCGCGUGAAUUCGCGUUCCCCAAAUUGAUUGGCGGUCACGUCGAGCUUCCAUAGCGUAGUAGUAAAACCCUCGUUACUGGUAAUCGUCGCGGCCACGCCGUUAAACCCCAACUUCUGAAUGUUGACCUCGGAUCAGGUAGGAAUACCCGCUGAACUUAAGCAUAUCAACAAG